rnacentral:snoRNA from 1 species
UUUCGGGUUGAUAACUAGGCGGAUUGUUUCAAUCUCCCACGACGUUUGCCUUUUAAGUACCCGAUAGAUUGACGCGGAGAUCUUACAUGUUUCCGAAAGCGCUUUCCUUUGCUAUUCAGUAAUCGGCGACUUUUAAAUCUCCGCAACAUGC